GACAUCGAAGGAACGAUGUAGGCUGCCAGGGAUGGAAGCCAGGGAAAGUCGCAGGAUAGCGACAUCAUCAGGAUGAUGGCCCCAGGGACGAAGGGAAUGACAUGAAACGGCGAGAGCGAUCCUCUCGCCGUUUUUGU
rnacentral:sRNA from 1 species